rnacentral:rRNA from 1 species
UACAGGGGGGGCAAGCGUUGUUCGGAAUUACUGGGCGUAAAGGGUUCGUAGGUGGCCACUUAAGUCAGACGUGAAAUCCCUCAGCUUAACUGGGGAACUGCGUCUGAUACUGAGUGGCUUGAGUGCAGGAGAGGAAUGCGGAAUUCCCGGUGUAGAGGUGAAAUUCGUAGAUAUCGAGAGGAACACCGGUGGCGAAGGCGGCCAACUGGACGAAUACUGACGCUGAGACUCGAAAGCGUGGGGAGCAAACAGG